UGGUAGUAUGCAUUUUUAGUGAAAUAAAAUAGUAACUGUGAUUUUGAUUUAUGUUUUUUGUGAGAAUUAGUGAUUGUGAGAAACUUUUCAUUUGUGUCAAUUUCAUGUCUUCUUUUCAGACAGGGUCUAUUCAGGUCCUUUAGGAUUGGGUAUUUGAGGUUGCAGGGGUUUUUCAUUUUGUUGUUGAUACUGUUUAUUUCACCUUAGUCGUGUCGGUUUGUUGUACGUGUUAGAUGAGAAUCUGUUUCAGAGAUAGAAUUUUCUUCCAAAAUUCUCUCUCAGUUUUUGGGGUGCCUUGACUCUUGGUUCAUUGUUUCCUUUGCUCUGUAGAAAUCCUAAAGUUUUACUUAGUCCCACAUAUUUAUAUUUGCACACUUUAGUGGUAAUUUUUUAUGCACCUAUUUCCAAUCCCUUAUCAUCCCCCGCUCUUCCCCCAAGCUCUAGUAACCGCUGUUGCACUGUCUAGGUCUUUGAGAUCAAGUUUUUUUUUUUUUUUAGAUUCUGUAUGAGUGAGAUAAUACAAGGUUUGUCUUUCUUUGCCUGGCUCAUUUCAUUUACCGUCACAUCCUCCAGGUACAACCACAGGGCUCCCCAUGAGGUGAUAUCAUUGAAUUUUCCUGGCUGAAGAGUCAUCCAUCGUGUACACACAUGGGAGUUUAUUUUUUCAUCUGCAUAUGGAAGAUUCUGGUCUUUCUUAUGGAGAACCUGAGUUCCUGCAUUAAAGUUCCCCCAGAAGAUCAACGGAAGGUGGAUUCCAAAGAGUGGGCAAGUGAGGACCCCUUCUCUGUUACCAAGGUGACCCCAAGGAACACAAUAAAUGGCUCUUCUGCAUUGACUUGCGUAGCUGGUUAGUACCAGCUUAGAGGAAAAGGAGGAGUCACUUCCUGAGUACGCUGGAGGCUGGAAGCUUAGAGGAAAAGGAGGAGGAGCCACUUCGUUAGCACACUGCAGGCUGGAGCCUGCCAUGGCUCGCCUCACUGCUGCGGUUGGUGCCGGCCAGGGAGACUACAGUGCAGCCAGAAUGGCUUUCCUGGCUUUGCCUGCCCAGUUGCUUCGUGCCAAGAGGAGGAGCUGCCUGCUGGAGGCUGGAGCUUGUGGCACCACAGCUCACCUCGCUGUGGUUGGUGGCGGCCAUGGAGACUAAAGAGUCAGAGCGCUGGAGCCGUAGGAGGGCGGCAAUGAAGACUGAAGAGCGCCAGAGCGGUAGGAGGGCGGCUGGCUGCCGCCAGGGCACAGGCAGUGCAGUGGUCAGGUGUUAGGAGCCUUGUAGGGUGGGCCCGUGCAUUGAGGGUGACAGCAGUAGUAUUAGCAUCGGUGCUAGUGGUGGCAGCAGCAGCAGCAAGUCUGGGGGCCAGGAAAGCAGGUAGAAGCAUUGCAGGGCAGCCCUGCCUGGCCUGGGGUGGGUAGGAAGCUGUGGGCCUCUGUGACGAUGGUGGAGGUGCAGCCAGGGAAGGAGGAGUCUUCCCCACAUCUCCUGCAGAAUCUGGAGGGCGUCCUCCUCCUGCUGGCACCUGAGCCAGGCGUGAGUGGCACCAUUAUGUCA